GAACGAUGAAGCCUGGCUUGCUGGGUGGAUUAGUGGCGAACGGGUGAGUAACACGUGAGCAACCUGCCCCUGACUCUGGGAUAAGCGCUGGAAACGGCGUCUAAUACUGGAUAUGUCCCAUCACCGCAUGGUGUGUGGGUGGAAAGAUUUUUCGGUUGGGGAUGGGCUCGCGGCCUAUCAGCUUGUUGGUGAGGUAAUGGCUCACCAAGGCGUCGACGGGUAGCCGGCCUGAGAGGGUGACCGGCCACACUGGGACUGAGACACGGCCCAGACUCCUACGGGAGGCAGCAGUGGGGAAUAUUGCACAAUGGGCGGAAGCCUGAUGCAGCAACGCCGCGUGAGGGAUGACGGCCUUCGGGUUGUAAACCUCUUUUAGCAGGGAAGAAGCGAGAGUGACGGUACCUGCAGAAAAAGCACCGGCUAACUACGUGCCAGCAGCCGCGGUAAUACGUAGGGUGCAAGCGUUAUCCGGAAUUAUUGGGCGUAAAGAGCUCGUAGGCGGUCUGUCGCGUCUGCUGUGAAAUUCCGAGGCUCAACCUCGGGCUUGCAGUGGGUACGAGCAGACUAGAGUGCGGUAGGGGAGAUUGGAAUUCCUGGUGUAGCGGUGGAAUGCGCAGAUAUCAGGAGGAACACCGAUGGCGAAGGCAGAUCUCUGGGCCGUAACUGACGCUGAGGAGCGAAAGGGUGGGGAGCAAACAGGCUUAGAUACCCUGGUAGUCCACCCCGUAAACGUUGGGAACUAGUUGUGGGGUCCUUU
rnacentral:rRNA from 1 species